ACUUGACGGUUUCCCAUCCUUCUAGAGGAGCCUGUUCUAUAAUCGAUUCUCCCCGAUCAACCAAACCACCCCUUGAACUCAGCCUGUAUACCUCCGUCGCAAGCUUACCGUGUGAACGCAUUUAGUGAGCUCAAAAACCCCCACGCCCACACGUCAGGUCAAGGUGCAGCCCAUGGGGUGGAAAGAAAUGGGCUACAAUCUCUAUCCUAGAACAAACGAAAGACUUUAUGAAAUACAGUCACUGAAGGCGGAUUUAGUAGUAAAAAGAAAAUAGAGAGUUCUUUUUAAUUAGGCCCUGGGAUGCGUACACACCGCCCGUCAUCCUCUUCAAAGGAUAUUCAUACUUUACUAACAUUAAAUACCCAAUACAGAAGAGGCAAGUCGUAACAUGGUAAGCGUACUGGAAAGUGUGCUUGGAACAACAAAAUGUAACUUAAUAAAAAGUAUCUUGCUUACACCAAGAAUAUGUCAAAAUCUGACCAUUUUUGAGC
rnacentral:rRNA from 1 species